rnacentral:rRNA from 1 species
UAACGCGUGGGUAACCUGGCCCAUACAGGGGGAUAACACUUAGAAAUAGGUGCUAAUACCGCAUAACAACAGAAAGCGCAUGCUUUUUGUUUGAAAACCAAGGUGGUAUGGGAUGGACCCGCGUCUGAUUAGCUGGUUGGCGGGGUAAAGGCCCACCAAGGCGACGAUCAGUAGCCGGCCUGAGAGGGUGGACGGCCACAUUGGGACUGAGACACGGCCCAAACUCCUACGGGAGGCAGCAGUGGGGAAUAUUGCACAAUGGGGGAAACCCUGAUGCAGCGACGCCGCGUGAGUGAAGAAGUAAUUCGUUAUGUAAAGCUCUAUCAGCAGGGAAGAAAAUGACGGUACCUGAGUAAGAAGCCCCGGCUAACUACGUGCCAGCAGCCGCGGUAAUACGUAGGGGGCAAGCGUUAUCCGGAUUUACUGGGUGUAAAGGGAGCGUAGACGGCAGUGCAAGUCUGGGGUGAAAGGCGGGGGCUCAACCCCCGGACUGCUCUGGAAACUGUACGGCUGGAGUGCAGGAGAGGUAAGUGGAAUUCCUAGUGUAGCGGUGAAAUGCGUAGAUAUUAGGAGGAACACCAGUGGCGAAGGCGGCUUACUGGACUGUAACUGACGUUGAGGCUCGAAAGCGUGGGGAGCAAACAGGAUUAGAUACCCUGGUAGUCCACGCCGUAAACGAUGAUCACUAGGUGU